AUGGGCAAGAAAGCUGGUGACGCUGAGCAGGCUGGACGCCUCCCUGAGACGCCAACCAGCAACGGUUCCGCGCUUCGCCGAUGGACCGCUCAAGUGAGCGCAGCUCUCAGUGCCAAGUGCGUCGUCGCGUUGGUCCUCGGUGUCGUCGUCUUCCUCUCGGCCUUCUUCAUGGUCCUUCAAUUCCGAUCACCGGGGAACAGCAUGCCUGAUGCCCCCGGCACACUCAUUGAUGAAAUUCAGGCUGGUUUCAUCUUGUUGAAGCCACUUGCGGAACUCACUCCACAUGUCGCCGAGCUACAACAAGAGAUAAACCGUCAAAUUGGAGUCCCCAACACUACGGUUUCCGUCUCUAUGCAGGCAUUAUUCCUGAGUUUCACUGUUGUAGAAUUUGAUGUUCUUCCUGACCCAAUAAACACCUCCAUAAGUGCACGAUCCAUGCACGCAUUGAGGAAAAACUUGAUCCAGCUUACCCUUCAGCAGCUGAAUUUGUCGCUGACACCAUCGGUCUUCGGAUAUCCAUUGUGCGUACAGAUGCUGGGGUUCCCAGGAGGGAUCACAAUAGAAUUAGAACCCCUACAGGAUAAUUCCAUUCUACAAGUUGCACAGCCUCUUUUCAAUGUAACGCUUGACAUGAGCAUUCGCCAAUUGAGGNNNNNNNNNNNNNNNNNNNNNNNNNNNNNNNNNNNNNNNNNNNNNNNNGACAUAUACAUAGAUCUGACAAAUAAGAAUGGCUCAACGAUUGCCCCACCAGUUAUAGUCCAAGUUUCCCUCUCCCCAGAUGACCGCGGCGUUUACGAAGAAAUGGGGAGGCUGAAACAGCUAGCUGAAAUCAUCACAGAAUCAAGUUCAAUGAACCUUGGCCUAGACCCAUCGGUUUUUGGUAGAAUCAAGGAUCUCAAGCUGGUUCCGCGACUGCAAGCCCUCGUUCCAUCAUUUGCUCCUAGCUCAUCUCCAACGCAAAUAUCAUCCCCUUCCAUGCCUCCAUAUUCACAGCCAAUGUCAUCCCCUUCCAUGCCUCCAUAUUCACAGCCAAGUAGAACCAGUCUUUGUGCACAUUGUUCAUGCCCUGCUUGGAUGAAACUAAAUGCAACCAAUUCGCAUCGCAUGUUAAUGCGACUUCUUCCAAUGACAAUCUCUUUCAAUUACCAACACAGCGUCAUAGCAGGAAUGGACCUGGGCACAAGCAAUGGCAAUGCAGUGGCAGCACCAACCUCCAUUGCGCCAUCAUCCCAACCAUAG
rnacentral:rRNA from 1 species